ACUUGAGUAGUUUAAUAAAAAUUUUGAUUUGUGGUGUCAAAGAUGCUGUUCUAGUCUCAAGUA
rnacentral:tRNA from 1 species